UCGGGAAUAUUGCGCAAUGGAGGAAACUCUGACGCAGUGACGCCGCGUGCAGGAAGAAGGUUUUCGGAUUGUAAACUGCUUUAGACAGGGAAGAAAAAGGACAGUACCUGUAGAAUAAGCUCCGGCUAACUACGUGCCAGCAGCCGCGGUAAUACGUAGGGAGCAAGCGUUAUCCGGAAUCAUUGGGCGUAAAGCGUUCGUAGGCGGUAUGUCAAGUCUGGUGUUAAAGCCCGAGGCUCAACCUCGGUUCGGCAUUGGAUACUGGCAAACUAGAAUGUGGUAGAGGUAAAGGGAAUUCCUGGUGUAGCGGUGAAAUGCGUAGAUAUCAGGAGGAACAUCGGUGGCGAAAGCGCUUUACUGGACCAUUAUUGACGCUGAGGAACGAAAGCCAAGGGAGCAAAUG
rnacentral:rRNA from 1 species